rnacentral:rRNA from 1 species
AGAGUUUGAUCAUGGCUCAGGACGAACGCUGGCGGCGCGCUUAACACAUGCAAGUCGAGCGAGAACCAGUCCUUCGGGACUGGGGACAGCGGCGAACGGGUGAGUAACACGUGGGUAAUCUGCCCUCGAUUCUGGGAUAGCCCGGGGAAACCCGGAUUAAUACCGGAUAGCCUCUCGAGCUUACGAGCUCGUGAGAAAAGGUAGCUUCGGCCUCCGAUCGAGGAUGAGCCCGCGGCGGAUUAGCUUGUUGGUGGGGUAAUGGCCUACCAAGGCGACGAUCCGUAGCUGGUCUGAGAGGACGAUCAGCCACACUGGGACUGAGACACGGCCCAGACUCCUACGGGAGGCAGCAGUGGGGAAUCUUGCGCAAUGGGCGAAAGCCUGACGCAGCGACGCCGCGUGGGGGAAGAAGGCCUUCGGGUUGUAAACCUCUUUCAGCAGGGACGAAGCCACUCGGGUUAACAGCCCAGAGGGUGACGGUACCUGCAGAAGAAGCCCCGGCUAACUACGUGCCAGCAGCGGCGGUAAUAC